CUUCUAAGCGUUAAAGCAAGAUUGACCGUACUAAAACUGACACAGGUAGGUAAGAAGAGUAUUCUAAGGCGCUCGGGAGAACGGUGGUUAAGGAACUCUGCAAAAUGGCUCCGUAAGUUCGCGAUAAGGGGCGCCUGAGCAAUCAGGCCACAGAAAAUCGGUACCAGCGACUGUUUAUCAAAAACACAGGACUCUGCGAACUCGUAAGAGGAGGUAUAGAGUCUGACGCCUGCCCGGUGCUGGUAGGUUAAGGAAGAGGGUUAGCAGCAAUGCGAAGCUCGCAACCGAAGCCCCAGUAAACGGCGGCACUAACUAUGAGUGUCCUAAGGUAGCUUUCAUAAAAGUCUGCCUGCCUACGCGGAUGACGCGUAGGGCAAUACUCAGCUGUAUGCGGGAACCUCCUAAAGCUACUGGCUACGUUUCUCGAACUGCGGUUCGAGCGUUACAAUGCCGUAGAUUGGACAAUCCGCAGGAAACUUUGUCUUCGCCUUGGCAGUAAUGCUGGGGUGUUGGAUAGAGGAUCCUCAGAGGCCAAACGCUGAGUGCCCUAGUUGAAUUGAGUUGUGAUGGAUUUGUCGCCAGAUUGGGUGGUUGGUUUUGUUGACGGGGAAGGUUGCUUCCACGUCAGCGUCAAUCGACACCCAGAGAUGAAGCUUGGUUUUCAGGUAUUACCUGAGUUCGUGGUCGUGCAGCACAGCAACGAUCGAUCUUUGCUCUUCGCUCUCAAGCGAUUUUUCGGAGCAGGAACGGUUCGAAGCAAUCACGGCGAUCGCGAUUGUCUCAGGAUCCGAAAACUCGACUCUCUGCAAAAUGUUUGUGAUUUCUUCAUGAGGCAUCCGCUCAAGUCCCGUAAGAACGUGGACUUUCGGAAGUUUCGGCAGAUCGUGUUGAUGAUGCUCGAUAAGAAGCAUCUGAACGUCGAAGGAAUGAUUGAAAUCAUUGAUGUUGCUCUGGAGAUGAACUCCUUGGAUCGUCCUCGUUUGCUUGAGGUUCGGUCGGCUCUGCUCAACGGGUAAAGAUAUGGUCCACGCUUAGUGGAAACACUGAGAGACGCGUGAGCGAAGUUCCUUGUCGGGUAAGUUCCGACCUGCAUGAAAGGCGUAACGACUGGUACACUGUCUCAACCACCGACCCGGUGAAAUUGUAGUUGUGGUGAAGAUGCCACAUACCCGCGGCUAGACGGAAAGACCCCAUGAACCUUUACUGUAGGCUGAUAUUGGGUUGAGGUAUGUUCUGUGCAGAAUAGCUGGGAGGCUUUGAACCGGGGACGCCAGUCUCUGGGGAGCCAUCGUUGAGAUACCAGCCUGGAUAUGCUUUAAUUCUAACUUUGUCCCGUGAAUCCGGGCUUAGAACAGUGUCAGUUGGGCAGUUUGACUGGGGCGGUCUCCUCCUAAAGAGUAACGGAGGAGCGCAAUGGUACACUCAGCCUGGUCGGCAAUCAGGCAAAGAGCGUAAAGGUAGAAGUGUGCUUGACUGCGAGACAAAUAAGUCGAGCAGGUACGAAAGUAGGCCUUAGUGAUCCGGUGAUUCCGAAUGGAAGGGUCAUCGCUCAUCAGAUAAAAGGUACUCUGGGGAUAACAGGCUUAUCGCCACCGAGCGUCCACAGCGGCGUGGCGGUUUGGCACCUCGAUGUCGGCUCAUCGCAUCCUGGGGGUGAAGAAGCUCCCAAGGGUUUGGCUGUUCGCCAAUGAAAGCGGUACGUGAGCUGGGUUCAGACCGUCGUGAGACAGGUCGGUCCCUAUCUACCGUGGGCGUACGAAACUUGAGAAGGGUCAACCUUAGUACGAGAGGAUUUGGUUGGACAUAGCUCUGGUGUCCCAGUUGUCACGCUAGUGGCACGGCUGGAUAGCUAACUAUGGAAAGGAUAAACGCUGAAAGCAUCUAAGCGUGAAGCCCUCUUCAAGACUAGGUUUCGUAGCAGUAAUGCGAAAGUCCCCUGGUAGACCACCAGGUUGAUAGGCUGGAUGUGUAAGCACGGUAACGUGUUAAGCUUACCAGUACUAACGGACGAACGCUUGACCAU
rnacentral:rRNA from 1 species